CUAAACAUGGCCUUGCCUCCUACUCAAUGGAGAAACUGGGCACCAUCAGAAGGAGCUGCCACAUACCCUCAGACUCACCAAACAGUCUGCUUCUUACCCCAGUGUAAGCACUGAACAGGCAGGUGGGUGUAUGGGUCUGAGACUGAGGAGAGCUGGCCUGUAGACACAGGUUUGGAAAUCUUCAACAAAAAGACAAUAAUGAGAUCACCCAGGGGAUGUGUGUGAGGUAAAAAGAGCCUAGUUUUUGAACUCUAGAGGACAUCGAUGUUUGUGAACAAGAGAUAUCUGUAAGGGAGACUGGAAAAGAGCAGCCAGAGAGAUCACAAAACCCAGGAGCAUGUGGGUCAGAGAAAUCAAUGGAAGGAAGUGGUCAGCUGACAUGAUAAUGACUGGCGUGUCCUGUGAACCAGAAACAUGGAGGUCUUUAACCAUCUUUGUUAGAGCAGUUCUGUGCAGUAUUAGAUGAAGAUGCCAGACUUCUGUUAACUUGAGUGUGACUGGAAAAUCAUUCUGUGGAAAGCACAAGGACUCCUAGAAGCCUCUGAGGAAGCAGAGAUAGCAAGUAUAAGGUACUCUGCCAAGGAUGUCUAUGCAUGAAGGAAGGAGAGAGAUCUAGUGGUUGCCUUGGGGAGAUGCUGGUUUAGUGGAGAGUUCUAAUGAAGAUAACAGCCAUGUCAUUUGGGCAUGCUUAAGACUGUAGAAAGGCAGCCAGAAGAGUGGAGAGAUGACCAAGCAGCUAGUUAGUAGAGGGAGCACCAUCCCCUGGAAGAGAGGUUGGCUGUGUCCAGAAGAGGGGCUCCUCCUUGUGAUGGGGUGUCUUUUAGUCACCUGAAACCCCAAAGCCCAAGCCUGCUUUUCCUCCAGUCUCCUUACUCCAGCAAGUGGCAUUACCAUUCCCCCUAUUCCUUUAUCCAGGCAGUCAUCCUGCUGAUUCUGUCUCAUUAAUGGUCCUCAAAUCAAUUCAUUGCUUUCCACCCUCAAUGCCAUGAUCCACAGUCAUUUUUCCCAUGGUCUUCAGCAGCAGCUCUAACUGACCUCUUCGCAUCUUCUCUUGUUGCCCAUCAAUCUUCCAGAGAGCUGUUUCCAAUAUACAAAUCGAAUCCUGUCACUCCUUGUUUUGAAAACCAUUCACCACUUCCAAAUCUGUUGACAUGGCUAACUAGGCCUUCAGGAUCUAUGACACACACCCUCUUCCUGCCCCUUCUUCUCCAGCCUUGCCUCUCACCAUUCCCCAGUGCCUCUCACCAUUUCCCAGUGCCUCUCACCAUUUCCCAGUGCCCCUCACCAUUCCCCAGUGCCCCUCACCAUUUCCCAGUGCCCCUCACCAUUCCCCAGUGCCUCUCACCAUUUCCCAGUGCCUCUCACCAUUCCCCAGUGCCUCUCACCAUUUCCCAGUGCCUCUCACCAUUUCCCAGUGCCUCUCACCAUUUCCCAGUGCCCCU
rnacentral:lncRNA from 1 species